rnacentral:rRNA from 1 species
GACAGAGGGUGCAAACGUUGUUCGGAUUUACUGGGCGUAAAGCGCGUGUAGGCGGCCUUGCAAGUUGGAUGUGAAAGCCCACGGCUCAACCGUGGAAGCGCAUCCAAAACUGCAUCGCUCGAGUCUCGGAGAGGAAGGUGGAAUGCUUGGUGUAGAGGUGAAAUUCGUAGAUAUCAGGAGGAACACCAAUGGCGAAGGCAGCUCACUGGGACGAUACAGACGCUGAGACGCGAAAGCGUGGGGAGCAAACAGG